CAAGGCCGAAAAGGAUGCACACACAUCCUGGGAAGUACAACCCUAACAAGUUCUGCCUCUAUCAUCGUGACCACGGCCAUGACACGGAGGAGUAUAUUCAGCUCUAAGAUGAGAUCGAGGAGCUCAUCAGAUGAGGUUGGCUCAUCAGAUUCAUCCGACACCGGCCUGAAGGUAGGGAAGAUCGGCCGAGGGCCCUACCACAACCAGAGCCACC
rnacentral:lncRNA from 1 species